ACCCCUACGGUUCUCCUCAGGUCCGCCGCAACUCCUGGGUCCGUAGGGAGGCUGGUUCGCAGCGGGCAAGAGUGGCCUCUUCGACAUGCCGCAGCGGACCAGCCGCUUC
rnacentral:sRNA from 12 species